UACGACUACAUAUCAGGCAUAUCAAUAAGCGGAGGAAAAGAAACUAACAAGGAUUCCCUUAGUAACGGCGAGUGAAGCGGGAAGAGCUCAAAUUUGAAAUCUUCAAGGUUCUACCUUGACGAAUUGUAGUUUAAAGAAGUGUUUUCUGUUAGAGGAGUAGCAAAAGUUCCUGGGAAUGGGACAUCAUAGAGGGUGAGAAUCCCGUAUUUGGUUAUUCUUUCUAGCUUUGUGAUACACUUUCAAAGAGUCGGAUUGUUUGGGAAUGCAGUCCAAAAUGGGUGGUAAAUUUCAUCUAAAGCUAAAUAUUGGCGAGAGACCGAUAGCGAACAAGUACCGUGAGGGAAAGAUGAAAAGAACUUUGAAAAGAGAGUUAAACAGUACGUGAAAUUGUCAAAAGGGAAGCGUUUGACACCAGUGUUGUUUUUCCGAAAAUCAAUUAAGAAGGGCUUGAUUUUGUGUUGUAUUGACCUUAUCAGCUUUCUUCACUCUUUUUCGAGUCUUUCUUAAUGCACUUUUCGGUUAACAAGUCAACAUCAAUUUCUUUUGUUGUAAAAGGGUAUUUGGAAGGUGGCUUUCUUUUCGGAGAAAGUGUUUAUAGCCUUAUACCUCUACAAUCGGAGAGAUUGAGGUCUGCAGCGUAGAUCCUUCGGGGCUAGAUACACUUGUGCUAAGUUAUAGCUUUUCAUAGACAACUUGUUGACUAUGUUUAGUCAUGUAGCUUACCCGCUUGUGCUAUUUUACCUACGCUUAGGAUGUUGAUCUACAGAGCGAGAGU
rnacentral:rRNA from 1 species